rnacentral:rRNA from 1 species
GACGAACGCUGGCGGCGUGCUUAACACAUGCAAGUCGAACGGUAAGGCCCUUUCGGGGGUACACGAGUGGCGAACGGGUGAGUAACACGUGGGUGAUCUGCCCUGCACUUUGGGAUAAGCCUGGGAAACUGGGUCUAAUACCGGAUAGGACUACGCGAUGCAUGUCGUGUGGUGGAAAGCUUUUGCGGUGUGGGAUGGGCCCGCGGCCUAUCAGCUUGUUGGUGGGGUGAUGGCCUACCAAGGCGACGACGGGUAGCCGGCCUGAGAGGGUGUCCGGCCACACUGGGACUGAGAUACGGCCCAGACUCCUACGGGAGGCAGCAGUGGGGAAUAUUGCACAAUGGGCGCAAGCCUGAUGCAGCGACGCCGCGUGGGGGAUGACGGCCUUCGGGUUGCAAACCCCUUUCAGCACAGACGAAGCGUAAGUGACGGUAUGUGCAGAAGAAGCACCGGCCAACUACGUG